GACGAACGCUGGCGGCGUGCUUAACACAUGCAAGUCGAACGAAGAGCGAUGGAAGCUUGCUUCUAUCAAUCUUAGUGGCGAACGGGUGAGUAACGCGUAAUCAACCUGCCCUUCAGAGGGGGACAACAGUUGGAAACGACUGCUAAUACCGCAUACGAUCUAACCUCGGCAUCGAGGAAAGAUGAAAGGUGGCCUCUAUGUAUAAGCUAUCACUGAAGGAGGGGAUUGCGUCUGAUUAGCUAGUUGGAGGGGUAACGGCCCACCAAGGCGAUGAUCAGUAGCCGGUCUGAGAGGAUGAACGGCCACAUUGGGACUGAGACACGGCCCAGACUCCUACGGGAGGCAGCAGUGGGGAAUCUUCCGCAAUGGACGAAAGUCUGACGGAGCAACGCCGCGUGAGUGAUGACGGCCUUCGGGUUGUAAAGCUCUGUUAAUCGGGACGAAAGGCCUUCUUGCGAAUAGUUA
rnacentral:rRNA from 1 species